rnacentral:rRNA from 1 species
AACGUAGGAGGCGAGCGUUAUCCGGAUUCACUGGGCGUAAAGCGCCGGUAGGUGGUUCGGCAAGUGGAUGGUGAAAGCCCCUGGCUCAACUGGGGGAGGCCUGUCCAAACUGCGGGACUGGAGGGUCAGAGAGGCAGGUGGAAUUCCCGGUGUAGCGGUGGAAUGCGUAGAGAUCGGGAGGAACACCAGUGGCGAAGGCGGCCUGCUGGCUGACAUCUGACACUGAGAGGCGAAAGCGUGGGUAG